UUUCAUCUAUUAAUGUAGUAAGAUUGACUGCUGUCGACAUGUGCACUAAAUGAGAAAGUGUGAUAUUUGUUUACCUGUCUGACAAUUAAUUACAGUGACAUUUUUUCUGGGCUCUGGAAUCUUCAAAUUUAGUGCAAGAAGACUAACAGAACAGACCUUUCUACUGUUAUCGGAUAGAUCCAUAACUACCGCUCAGCAACCAGACAUGGAAAUGACAUCUGAAUCUUUCGCGCUUCACUGAGCUAUGAAAAGUGCAAUGACAGGGGCAGAUUUUGGUUAUGACGCAUUUUUUCUCGAUGUCCAGGUACAUCAAACAACAUAAAACAAUAAAAAAUAAUUUGAAGUGGGGCCAAUAACCAAAACAUUGAUAGAGUGGUCUUUGAAGUGGCAGAUGAUGUGUUCAGGUUCCUCGUAAUAUUCUAAACGAACACAGAAGGUAAUUGCGUAUUUGAUAUACAAUUAAAGGGAAGUAAAUAAAAUAAGAUGUUACAUACUUUCUUUGUACAUCGCUUUAUAUUGUCCUAUAACUUUGGAACAUGCAGCGGAUUAAGAGUGAGGCACGGUGCGAUCAACUCGAGACUAAUGCUAAUCUAUACAAGCCAUGCUAAACUAACUGUAGUGUGACAACAGUGAUACAGGUGCAAAAAAAACUGAACAGUUAAAAGAAAAUAUAAUUUAGAUGUAAUACAAUGACAUUUGUGUGGUGAUGGUAUUAACGGUUAAAGGGAAGUAAGUAAAAUUUGAAUAAUGGUACUCUCUAUGUAUAUCGGUUUUUCUCUCGAAACCUCGAUAAAAAUGACUUCUUGGUAAUUGCAAAUUUAAUGACAUCAAUAUAAAUUUUGUGACAGAAAAUUACGAAAAAAUUGUGAAUCUAUUUCCUAUUGUCCAAGAGAAUUCUCCUGAAAAUUGGACAUAAAUAGGGCAUAACAGUCUGAAAAAAAACCAUAAAAAAUUGCUCUAUUGCUCGGAUGUUAAAAUUCUAUCUACAAGAACGUGUAGGAUUCCAAGCAAGUAUUAGAUUAUGCAAAGAAACUCUACAAAACACUGACAAUGACUUAUGAAUCAUGAAAAGACAAUAGCAGAUGUAGACUGGUAAUAAUAAAAUAUUUUUCUAAUAUCACCCAUACUUUUGCAAACAUGAUCAGAGAAGUUUUAUAGCAUAUAUUUAAGGUUUUAACAGAAAAAUUAUCAUGACAAGUUUUGUAAACGGGUUAGACAUCAUGAAGACUAAGGACCGAAAUGAUUACCUCCAAAUUAAACAAAUAAUCAAAUGACCUGAGACCACGCUUAU
rnacentral:lncRNA from 1 species